UUCCAUGCCGCUCGCUCCGCGCCGUCGCCACCAAAACCCUCUCCAAAACCUCCAAGAAACGCCGCCCACCUCCCAAAGAUGCCUCCCAGGCCGGCAGGUCGGGUCUUCCAGUACCUCUCCCCGUCCCGCCGGCCACCGCCGUCUCCGCUGCCGGAAAUCCCCGCCGGCGGCGACGCCCUGGCGUCCGACGCCGACGCCGACUCCGUGUACCGCAUCGUCACGGCCGCGCCCACGCCGUCGGCCAUGGAGUCCGCGCUCUCCGCCUCCGCCGUCCCGCUCUCGGCGCCGCUCCUCGACCUCGUCCUCCGCCGCUUCCGCUUCGCGCACGGGGACCCGCUCCGCGCGCUCUCGCUCCUCUCGCUCGCCGCCGACCGCUGCGGCGUCACGCCCUCCCCGUUCGCGCUCGACACGGCGCUCUACGUGCUGGGCCGCGCCCGCCGCUUCUCCCACAUGUGGGACCUCGUCCACUCCUGCCGCCGCCUCUGCCCCGACGCCGUCACCCCGCGCACCGCCAUGGUCGUCCUCGGCCGCGUCGCCAAGAUCUGCUCCGUCCGCGAGACCGUCUCGUCCUUCCGCCGCCUCCUGCGCCUCUUCCGCGGCCGCGAGGGGGGCGCGGACUCCGCCGACCUCUUCAACGCGCUGCUCCGCACGCUCUGCCAGGAGAAGAGCAUGUCCGACGCGCGCAACGUCUACCACGCGCACAAGUACGAGUUCCAGGUCAACCGCCAGACCUUCAACAUCCUGCUCUCCGGCUGGAAGUCCUCCGAGGACGCCGAGGCGUUCUUCGCGGAGAUGCGAGAGCUCGGGAUCAGCCCUGACCUGGUCACCUACAACUCUCUGAUUGAUUGCCACUGCAAGAACAGGGGCGUGGAGAAGGCCUACAGCCUGCUCGAUGAAAUGCGUGCGAGUGAAAUCGCUCCUGACGUGAUCACGUAUACAAGCUUGAUUGGCGGGCUGGGACUGGUUGGCCAGCCUGACAAGGCGAGGGACCUGCUGAAGGAGAUGCGCGAGCUCGGGUGCCACCCGGAUGUCGCGGCGUACAAUGCCACGAUACGGAACUUUGUUAUAGCCAAGAGGCUUGGUGAUGCUUUUGCGUUGAUGGAUGAGAUGGCCUCAAAGGGGCUGAUGCCGAACGCCACGACGUAUAACCUUUUCUUCCGGUGCUAUUACUGGGCGUUUGACAUUGGUAGCUCAUGGCUGUUGUAUGAGCGGAUGCGGUCCGAAAGAUGCUUCCCAAACACCCAGUCUUGCAUGUUUAUCAUCAGGUUAUGUCAUCGCCAUGGUAAGGUGGCGGAAGCACUAGAGCUGUGGGGCGAUAUGGUGAAGAACGGGUUUGGGUCAUUCACCUUGGUGUCAGAUGUGCUGUUUGACCUGUUAUGUGAUGAGGGAAAGCUGGAGGAAGCUGAGAGGUGCUUUCAUCAACUGACUGAUUUGGGGCAGAAACCCAGCAGUGUUUCAUUUAGAAGGAUCAAGAUACUCAUGCAGCUGGCCAAGCGGGAAGAAGCUGUUGCCAGGUUAACUGAGAAAAUGGCACAGUUUGUACGGCUGCCAGCUGAGGAUUGCCAAAGGGUUCAUCACACUACUGAAAGCACACCUCACAAUGGUGGUGGAGUUCAAGCUGAUAUAAUAACAGCAACUUAGCAUCUUAUGCAGGUUAGGGUGUUCAACAACAGUUUUCCCGAACCUUUGAAAACUUAUCCCUGUUAUGAUCUAGUUGAUUGGGGCCGAUUGGAGCAUACACUACUGUGCCAGUACAAAUCAGAUUAGCUGGUUUCCACGGGUUAAACCUGACCCAGAUUUGAACACCCCAGAUUCAGAUGACAGCAAGCACUAAUUGAUAAUUAAUGGUCACAACUUAGGAAAUAAAUGAAUUGAUCUGAAGAAUUCAUGUUAUUACUAUGGGGUGUAAAAUCUGUGAUGUCAUCGACGGACAAUACAACCCAUAUUGCCAGAUUAUUCGCAGUAGUGAUACAUUAUUUUCCUGAAAUCAACAUUGAAACUUUGGAAGACCUUAGCCUGCCUGUUUAACCAUAUGGUAUGAUACCGUUCUCUAAUCACUCUGAUGCAUACGAAAUUGGAAAUUUGUAUGGUAUUCCAACAUCAUGAAAGCUCAUAGUGAUGGCUGCAGAAUUGGAACUACCACUAUAAA